rnacentral:rRNA from 1 species
UACGAGGGGGGCGAGCGUUGUUCGGAAUUAUUGGGCGUAAAGGGUGCGUAGGCGGUUUGGUAAGUCUUAUGUGAAAUCUACAGGCUCAACUUGUAGUCUGCAUGAGAAACUGCCGGGCUUGAGUGUGGGAGAGGUGAGUGGAAUUCCUGGUGUAGCGGUGAAAAUGCGUAGAUAUGCGGAGGAACACCAGUGGCGAAGGCGGCGACCUGGGCCAAUAUUGACGCUGAGGUGCGAAAGCGUGGGGAGCAAACAGG